AUCUAUGGCCAUGCCACCCUGAACGUGCCAGAUCUCAUCUAAUCUCGGAAGCUAAGUAGGGAUCGGGCCUCGUUACUACUGGAUGGGAGACCACUUAGGAAUACCAGGUGCUGUAGGCA
rnacentral:rRNA from 1 species